rnacentral:rRNA from 1 species
GAUGAACGCUGGCGGCGUGCCUAAUACAUGCAAGUCGAGCGAACGGACGAGAAGCUUGCUUUUCUGAUGUUAGCGGCGGACGGGUGAGUAACACGUGGAUAACCUACCUAUAAGACUGGGAUAACUUCGGGAAACCGGAGCUAAUACCGGAUAAUAUUUUGAACCGCAUGGUUCAAAAGUGAAAGACGGUCUUUCUGUCACUUAUAGAUGUAUCCGCGCUGCAUUAGCUAGUUGGUAAGGUAACGGCUUACCAAGGCAACGAUGCAUAGCCGACCUGAGAGGGUGAUCGGACACACUGGAACUGAGACACGGUCCAGACUCCUACGGGAGGCAGCAGUAGGGAAUAUUCCGCAAUGGGCGAAAGCCUGACGGAGCAACGCCGCGUGAGUGAUGAAGGUCUUAGGAUCGUAAAACUCUGUUAUUAGGGAAGAACAUAUGUGUAAGUAACUGUGCACAUCUUGACGGUACCUAAUCAGAAAGCCACGGCUAACUACGUG